UACAGAGGGGGCAAGCGUUGUUCGGAAUUACUGGGCGUAAAGGGCGCGUAGGCGGCCUGUUAAGUCGAACGUGAAAUCCCCGGGCUCAACCCGGGAACUGCGUCCGAUACUGGCUGGCUUGAAUCCGGGAGAGGGAUGCGGAAUUCCAGGUGUAGCGGUGAAAUGCGUAGAUAUCUGGAGGAACACCGGUGGCGAAGGCGGCAUCCUGGACCGGUAUUGACGCUGAGGCGCGAAAGCCCAGGGGGAGCAAAACGGGGAUUAGAAAACCC
rnacentral:rRNA from 1 species